GACGAACGCUGGCGGCGUGCCUAAUACAUGCAAGUAGAACGCUGAAGGAGGAGCUUGCUCUUCUGGAUGAGUUGCGAACGGGUGAGUAACGCGUAGGUAACCUGCCUGGUAGCGGGGGAUAACUAUUGGAAACGAUAGCUAAUACCGCAUAAGAGUAGAUGUUGCAUGACAUUUGCUUAAAAGGUGCAAUUGCACCACUACCAGAUGGACCUGCGUUGUAUUAGCUAGUUGGUGGGGUAACGGCUCACCAAGGCGACGAUACAUAGCCGACCUGAGAGGGUGAUCGGCCACACUGGGACUGAGACACGGCCCAGACUCCUACGGGAGGCAGCAGUAGGGAAUCUUCGGCAAUGGACGGAAGUCUGACCGAGCAACGCCGCGUGAGUGAAGAAGGUUUUCGGAUCGUAAAGCUCUGUUGUAAGAGAAGAACGAGUGUGAGAGUGGAAAGUUCACACUGUGGCGGUAUCUUACCAGAAAGGGACGGCUAACUACGUGCCAGCAGCCGCGGUAAUACGUAGGUCCCGAGCGUUGUCCGGAUUUAUUGGGCGUAAAGCGAGCGCAGGCGGUUAGAUAAGUCUGAAGUUAAAGGCUGUGGCUUAACCAUAGUACGCUUUGGAAACUGUUUAACUUGAGUGCAAGAGGGGAGAGUGGAAUUCCAUGUGUAGCGGUGAAAUGCGUAGAUAUAUGGAGGAACACCGGUGGCGAAAGCGGCUCUCUGGCUUGUAACUGACGCUGAGGCUCGAAAGCGUGGGGAGCAAACAGG
rnacentral:rRNA from 1 species